rnacentral:lncRNA from 1 species
UUCCUUUGAAGAACUCAACGCUCCAGGCAUCAUCUUGAAAGCGGAGAAAGCAGACCAUGUGGUUGAUCUUCAGUUAUCCUGAGUCAGCAGGUGGGCCAUUUACAUCACCACGACAGUGUCCACAGGAGUUCCAGUUCCCUAAAUUCUCACCAAGACUGGUCAUCCUCUGUUGGAAAAAAACAUUCUAACAGGCAUCAGUUUCUGGCAAUACUUUCUCUAUGGUAGAGUCUGGAAAGGCUACUCCUCAUGUCCUUGGCUUCCUAAGUCCCAGAUGUGGUGAAGAAUGCCCAUCAGC